rnacentral:rRNA from 1 species
AUACGCGUGUGUGAUGAACCGUCUUAGGAUUGUAAAACACUUUCAGCAAGGGAAAAAAUUAUAUAAAUAAUACUUAUAUUAACUGAUAUUACCUGCAAAAGAAGUACCGGCUAACUCCGUGCCAGCAGCCGCGGUAAUACGGAGGGUACAAGCGUUAAUCGGAAUUAUUGGGCGUAAAGAGUACGUAGGUGGUAUAUUAAGUCAGAUGUGAAAUACUUAAGCUUAACUUAAGAACUGCAUUUGAAACUAAUAAACUAGAGUUUUAUAGAGGGGAGUAGAAUUCCAAGUGUAGCGGUGAAAUGCGUAGAUAUUUGGAGGAAUACCAGAGACGAAGGCGACUCCCUGGGUAAUAACUGACACUGAGGUACGAAAGCUUGGGGAGCAAACAGGAUUAGAUACCCUGGUAGUCCAUGCUGUAAACGAUGUCAAUUUGAAGAUUGUAAUAUUAUUAUUUUUUAUAAUUUUCGUAGCUAACGCAUUAAAUUGACCGCCUGGGGAUUACGACCGCAAGGUUAAAACUCAAAUGA